rnacentral:lncRNA from 1 species
AGUACACUGUGACAGUCACAGCUGUGUCCUCUUCCAACAACAGUCCCAGGGUCAGCCGCAUGAUCAACACCAACGAAAGCGUUCCUGGUCCUCCUUCUGACUUAGAGGGAGAAGCUGUGGGCUCUAAUGGGAUCCUGCUUUCCUGGGCAAUGCCAAGUGAUGCCAACAAUAUUGACGAAUACGUCAUCAGGUACAAGGAGGUGUGUCCAUAUCCUGAUCCCUCGUUCACUCAUGUGACAAAGUACUUGGACAUACCUGAAACUCUGCUCACUGAUUUUAUUUCAGGGUCCACGUACCACAUUCAGGUAGGUGUCACAACUUUAACUACAUCAUUUAGCAUUUUCUGAAGAAAAGAUGUAUUACUGAAACUCACCUCUAUUUGGCUGCUGGAACA